UGGAUACUGCACGGGUCAUGCUGAGGAGUUCAGAGCCGGAUAAGGAUUACAUUAACGCCUCUUUCGUUGACGACUAUAGUCGACGUGACGCAUACAUUUUGACUCAAGCCCCGUUAAACGAUACUGUUAACGACUUCUGGAGGAUGAUAUCACAGUAUGAUAUCGGCACAAUUGUGAUGUUAAACAGUUUAAAAGAGGAAAAAGAGAGUUAUCCACUAUAUUGGCCA